UACAGAGGUCUCAAGCGUGUUCGGAUUCAUUGGGCGUAAAGGGCGCGUAGGCGGCGCGGGCAGUCAACGGUGAAAGCUUGGGGCUCAACCCCGAGUCGGCCGUCGAUACUCCCGGGCUGGAGCACUGUAGAGGCAGGUGGAAUUCCGGGUGUAGCGGUGGAAUGCGUAGAGAUCCGGAAGAACACCGGUGGCGAAGGCGGCCUGCUGGGCAGUAGCUGACGCUGAGGCGCGACAGCGUGGGGAGC
rnacentral:rRNA from 1 species